rnacentral:rRNA from 1 species
AAUAGAUACCCAGGUAGUCCACGCCGUAAACGAUGGAUACUAGCUGUUUGAGCGCAAGUUUGAGUGGCUAAGCGAAAGUGAUAAGUAUCCCACCGUGGGGAGUACGGGCGCAAGCCUGAAACUCAAAGGAAUUGACGGGGGCCCGCACAAGCGGUGGAGCAUGUGGUUUAAUUCGAUGAUACGCGAGGAACCUUACCAGGGCUUAAAUGUAGAUUGACGUAUUUGGAAACAGAUAUUUCUUCGGACAAUUUACAAGGUGCUGCAUGGUUGUCGUCAGCUCGUGCCGUGAGGUGUCAGGUUAAGUCCUAUAACGAGCGCAACCCCUGUUGUUAGUUGCCAGCGAGUAAUGUCGGGAACUCUAGCAAGACUGCCAGUGUAAACUGUGAGGAAGGUGGGGAUGACGUCAAAUCAUCACGGCCCUUACGUCCUGGGCCACACACGUGCUACAAUGGCCGGUACAGAGAGCAGCCACUUAGCGAUAAGGAGCGAAUCUAUAAAGCCGGUCACAGUUCGGAUCGGAGUCUGA